GAUGAACGCUGGCGGCGUGCCUAAUACAUGCAAGUCGAGCGAACGGACGAGAAGCUUGCUUCUCUGAUGUUAGCGGCGGACGGGUGAGUAACACGUGGAUAACCUACCUAUAAGACUGGGAUAACUUCGGGAAACAGUAGCUAAUACCGGAUAAUAUUUUGAACCGCAUGGUUCAAAAGUGAAAGACGGUCUUGCUGUCACUUAUAGAUGGAUCCGCGCUGCAUUAGCUAGUUGGUAAGGUAACGGCUUACCAAGGCAACGAUGCAUAGCCGACCUGAGAGGGUGAUCGGCCACACUGGAACUGAGACACGGUCCAGACUCCUACGGGAGGCAGCAGUAGGGAAUCUUCCGCAAUGGGCGAAAGCCUGACGGAGCAACGCCGCGUGAGUGAUGAAGGUCUUCGGAUCGUAAAACUCUGUUAUUAGGGAAGAACAUAUGUGUAAGUAACUGUGCACAUCUUGACGGUACCUAAUCAGAAAGCCACGGCUAACUACGUG
rnacentral:rRNA from 1 species